UCCGGUUUGUCACCGGCAGUCCCAUUAGAGUGCCCAACUUAAUGCUGGCAACUAAGGACAAGGGUUGCGCUCGUUGCGGGACUUAACCCAACAUGUCACCACACGAGCUGACGACAGCCAUGCAGCACCUGUCUCUCGGUCGUAUUGCUACGAAAGCCCUAUCUCUAGGGUUGGCCGAGGAUGUCAAAUCCAGGUAAGGUUCUUCGCGUUGCUUCGAAUUAAACCACAUGAUCCACCGCUUGUGCGGGCCCCCGUCAAUUCCUUUGAGUUUUAGUCUUGCGACCGUACUUCCCAGGCGGAUGACUUCACGCGUUAGCUGCGUUACUAAAGGAUUUAACUCCUCCAACAACUAGUCAUCAUCGUUUAGGGCGUGGACUAC
rnacentral:misc_RNA from 1 species